UCGCGUCUUACGACGGCAGUUUCAGUAGAGUUCCCAGCGUUACCUGAUGGCAACUACUGAUGGGGGUUGCGCUCGUUGCGGGACUUAACCCAACAUCUCACGACACGAGCUGACGACAGCCAUGCAGCACCUGUGUGCAGGUCCCCGAAGGGAAGGAAUCCGUCUCCGGAAGCCGUCCUGCCAUGUCAAGGGCUGGUAAGGUUCUGCGCGUUGCUUCGAAUUAAACCACACGCUCCACCGCUUGUGCGGGCCCCCGUCAAUUCCUUUGAGUUUCACCCUUGCGGGCGUACUCCCCAGGUGGAUUACUUAAUGCGUUAGCUGCGCCACCCAGGCACCAAGUGCCCGGACAGCUAGUUAUCAUCGUUUACGGCGUGGACUAC
rnacentral:misc_RNA from 1 species